rnacentral:misc_RNA from 1 species
AAUAUCUCUUCCAUAUUCCUUGCCUUCCAUCACUUUCCAGCUGUUUGAGAAUUUGGGUUUUUGGAUCCAAACCCUUCUUUUAUCUCUCUAAAUCUUGAAGUCCAUUUGUCUGUCUAAUCUUUCAUCCAGAUCAGUCACAAAUUCUUAAAAAUUGACAUUUGGAGAACUGUAAAUGGACCAAAAUCCUGUUGUUCAUAUACCAGAGUGAUCUCUUUUCAGGCAUAGAAAUUGAAGCUUUUGAGAGCUAAAAAAGGAGAUAAAUUUGGGUGUUUCAAGUGAUGAAAGGAAGCCAUCUGGAUUUUUCCUAUUAAAAGAAGAAGUGAGGAUUCAUUUAGCGACCUCAACUUGUUUGGGAUUGAGUCAUAGUUUUUGUUAUAAAGAUUGAAGCUUUGGUGAGCUAAAAGGAGGAGAUAAUUUUGGGUAUUGGUUCAAAUAAUCAAUAGGGUCAUAUAGUUUCUUCCUCUUAUGUAGUAUAAUCAAGAAGUAGCAUUCAUAUACCCGACCUCAACUUGUUCGUAACUGAGACGUAGUUGUUCUUGUUGUUGUACAAAGAUUGAAGCUUUGGUGUGUUAAAAAAGGAGAUAAUUUUGGGUGUUUCAAAGAGAUCAAAUGGGGUCAUCUGGUUUUUUCCUCUUGUGUAUACUUCAUUCUAUGGUGGCCUUAACUUCUGGAGCUUUGAUGAUGUUUUAUAGCAAUGAGGUAUUUAUAUUUAGCCAUGGAAGAGAGCGCGCGAGUAAGCUUUUUGGAUCGACACCCCAUGACCAAUUGAUAAUCCAAACAUCAGAUUCAUUCUCUGGUCUGCUUUUAUUUGCCAUUGGUUUUUUCUUGUUCAUGGUGGCAUUUGUAAAAGACAGAGAGUUUCACAAUUUCUUUGCUAAGGGAUGUGUCCUCCUUCAUAUAGCUAUGGCUGUUUGGAGAAUUUACUUUGAGAGGAAGCUUGAGGAGGAUCUCGGACACGAUUGGCUAAGAUUGGUUGUUGCUGACAUUGCUUUAGGACUUUCUUGGGUUUUCUUUCUUGUGUAUUCUUGGAGAGAGAAAUAUGAUUAGUCCUCGUUCCUUCGAGGGACGAUACAAAGAAGAUUAGCAUGAUCCUUGUUCAAGGAUGACACAAACAAAUCAGAGAAAAGUGUGAUUAGUCUAUGUUGCCUUACUUCCUUUGUUUCAUAUAUGGAUCUUGUCAUUGUCGCUGACAUUGUUUUAGGACUUUCCUGGGUUUUCUUUCUUGUGCAUUCUUGAAGAGAGAAGUAUGAUUAGUCGAUGUUGAAAUUUGAACGAUACAGAGAAGAUCAGCAUGGUCAUUGCUUGAGGAUGACAUGAACAAAUCAAGAAACAUAUCAUUAGUCUUUGUGUUGCAAUUUUCCUGCCUUGAAGGGACACACAUUUGAGUCCACUAUCCAUAUUUAGAUGUUUAGAUAAAAAAAAAACUGUCUUUGUUCAAGUAUCAAUCAACUACAUCGCAAUUCCGAACUAGUUGGAUUUGGCUAAAGAAUCUGAAAGUUUGCAGACUGAAAUCUGGUUGUUAUUACUUGAGUUAUGGGUAAAGCUACUUUGCAAGAAGUUUGGUUUUGAAACACAACCAGAUUGUGCUUCUUUGCUUCUAUCUUGGAUAGUACUUUCUUCCUUUUCUUUUUUGUGGACAAUUCUUGUAAAGUGCUUCAUUUACUUAUGUAAGUUUCUGUUGAUAGAAUGAGAUGUGUUUGUGAUCUCCAA